rnacentral:rRNA from 1 species
UCGCCUGUUUACAAAAACAUGUCUUUUUGAAUUAUAUAUAAAGUCUAACCUGCCCACUGAAAAUUUUAAAUGGCCGCAGUAUUUUGACUGUGCAAAGGUAGCAUAAUCAUUAGUCUUUUAAUUGAAGGCUGGAAUGAAUGGUUGGACGAAAUAUUAACUGUUUCAUUUAAAAUUUUUAUAGAAUUUUAUUUUUUAGUCAAAAAGCUAAAAUUUAUUUAAAAGACGAGAAGACCCUAUAAAUCUUUAUAUUUUUUUUUAUUUUAAUUAUAUAGAUUAAUUAAAUUUUAAUAAAUAAAAAUAUUUUAUUGGGGUGAUAUUAAAAUUUAAAAAACUUUUAAUUUUUUAAAAACAUAAAUUUAUGAAUAUUUGAUCCAUUAAUAAUGAUUAAAAAAUUAAGUUACUUUAGGAUAACAGCGUAAA